AAUUGAAUCCUUGCUGCAUAAUUUGCUUUCCUUAUUUCCUUAUAUUUUUCAUGUAGCUUACUCUUCCAUUGACUCAAUUUCUAGAAAAGUAUGUUGGUUGGGAUAAAUUGGAUCCUAACAUUGUAGGAGAUCCCUCUUGUUAUCAGAACAUAUUGCAGAACAGGUCUCAACUCAGUUUACGCAGCGGAUGCCCCACUACACGACCCAUCAAUCUUUACUUGCGAUCUUCCAGUGCCGGGAAUUUUUUAUGCAUGCAAUUACUCAACAAGGUAUUAGUUCGUGAGCAGACGAACGAGAAAGAGCCUCGAGCUGCAUCCAGCCAGAAACUAGUAGAACCUGGAACAUUGUUUUGACAAAUACUCUCAUAUCCCGGGUGCAGGUUUUCAUUAAAUACCAAUACAGGCUGACCUUACAAACAACGACAGUUUUAUCUACAAAUCUUUUAGCGCCUCGUCUUGCAACUAGUAGUUGAUAUUCUAGGUUUUGAUGUUCAAAAUUGGAAUUCAACUAUUUGAGAUUAGUAAAGUUCAAGUAUUUAAAAGCAAGAAUUGUACUUAUUUCAAAGUAAAAUCUAUUUUCUUUUGGGUUUAAGGAGGAAAACUAGAUGGCCUGGAUGUGUGUCUUCGAUAAAUAUUACGAGUGGCAAGUUAAAUGGGUGUUUGUUAAGUUUCUACCCUGUUUAGUGUUUCAAAGGAUUUUUCUUAAAAUAUUAAUGGUAUGUUAUUGUCUGUUCAGUAUUGCUAUCGUUUUGUAUGUAUUGAAAAGAAAAUCCUUAAAAUGUAUUGUUUUUAGUAUGUGGUAGGGUUUCAACUUGUCAGCUACCGAACCAGUACUGACUAGCACAGUAACGCCAUUUAGUUUUUAAGAUAUUGUGCGUUGUUUUUAUUUAAGCCCGAUUUAGCUUUAGGGCCUUAUCCCCCUCAUGUCCGGAAGCGAACCGGGUUAAGGCCUUAAGGCCCCUAGCUUUGUCGGGAGCCUAUCGGGACUUUACGAACACCGGGGCCGUUGAGUAUAUCUCAGUAAUUAAACCCGACUUUUUUAGCCCGACGUCUUGUACCAACUGCUCUUCUCUAAUUGUAACCAUUGAAUUGAGGAAUUUUGAAGAGAUUCUACACUGCCAUCUAUCGACAAUUUACUCAGUAAUUAAGCCCGACUUUUUGUACAAAAAGUUACCCUUAUAAUUUCGUUUAUUUUUUUUAAUGACUGGUUUAACGAGAAAACCAACAGCAUAAUCGAAAUCAGUAAU